GGACAAAAACAUUAUUGUAUAUUAACUUCUAUUACUAGUACAACAUCAUUAGACAAGAUAGAUAAGAUAGACACACUUCUGUCUUCGUAUUAGAAAUUGACAGGAGCAGUUGAAGCAUUUGACUUUUCAUAGUAUUAUUUAAGCGUCCAAGUGCUUAUCUUGAUGGUAUCUAAUAUAAUUGGUAUUCAUUCAUGGUAUCUUGUAGUUACUUCAUCAUAUUGUUAUUCAAGGGGAAAACUCUUAAAUAUAUUCAUAUGUUUUUUUUUCACAUUCACAUUAGAUAUUCCAUAAAGAUUGCUGAACAUUUAUGUGAUUUCUUCAGGAGGAAGAUAAGGUAAAGCUGGUACAGAAAACUGGUCUGUAAUUAAAGCAGAUCAGAGGAAGAGGCAUUAGCACAGCAAUCCUUCUUCUUCUACUACUUGAAGAGCAAGUGCAAAAGCAAAGGGUUGCAGUGAAGGCAAAGCAUCUCGAGUUUUAUAUGUGUCUGGUGAAGAUGUUAGCUUUUAUUGGGUUUCUUUCCUGCAUCUUGGUAUUGUAGUUUGGGAUAAUAUUUAAUUUCUCUGAUGUGGGCACUGAAGUUUAACAUUUGAUUUGUGACUGUGCUUUGGGUUUAGAGUCAGUUAACCUUCUCUAAUUUGGUUGCAUUUAUUUUGUUUUGUGUCAUGUGACAGAGCCUUGAGCAAAUUGGUAAUAGAGCAGAACGCCUUAGGAUUAAAUCAGAUAUAUAUUUAUAUUCAAGUACUGAUAUUGAGGACAUAUUGAAGAAAGCUCAGCUUCUUUCCCCUCGUGCUAUGGUUGUUGAUUCAAUACAAACUCUUGAUCCUAUUAACACUUGGUCAGAGCAAAAGGUUAAGUUGAAUGAUGCUGAGCACAAGUUAAAAGAUCAAGGACGUUAACUAAAGGUUCAACAGAAAAGAAUUGGUUCUACUAAAAAGACAA